AAUGGUUUCCAAAUUAUCCUCGGGACCAAGAGAAUACGGGGGCGGGUAGGAGAGGAUGAAGGGCAAGGUCUCUGGAAGUGGGAGAGAUAAGAGAUGCUGGCAGAGCGGGGGUUGGAUAAAGGAACAGUAAUUAUGAAGUAACUCUCAAAAGACAAACCACUGAGCCUAUGGAAGGAAGGAAGGGAAAGGGAAUGAUGGUGAUCCUCCCUACAGAGGCGCUGGGCUAGGAGUGUCCCUCUGUAGGAGCAGGUCCAUAGUGAUCGGGAAGGUGCCAAGGAAGAUGACCUAUAGUGAGAAAUGCCCUGGGUCCUACUUUGCUCAAUUCCCUCCGUUUUACUGGCAGCUCUGGUACAGGUGGCAGGGCCUCUUCUGGGCAGGGAAAAACAUCCUUAAGACUUUUCUCUGACUGAUUUUUUUUAAGUCAUCUAUCUGUCCUGACAUGGGAAAAGGUUCAAGAAAUAGAGCCAAUGCCCCGAAAUUUCAGACUAAACUGGUCAGAUGGCCAAGCAUGAGAGAAACCCAUGGCGACACCCUUCUCUCCUGGCAACCAAGUUCACAGUGUUGCGCCUUCUAAUGUCCACCCUGAAACAUAAUGAAUCUCUGUGUAGGGAGCAUGGCAUUGCCAAGGUGAAGACGAUCUACCUACAUUUAUCACUGCUUAGUCAGCUUCAUGGCACUCAUCCCACUGAGUAGGAAGUUGUCUCCUAACUUUGUUUCUUGAAGAUUCUUUCUAUAUUAAAGGACAAACCACUUGGAAGAUCUUUGCUCCUCUCCCCUGCUUGAAAUACAUGCCUUUCUUUGAAAGUGUCAUAGGCCAGAAUAAGUUAUAAACCCCAGCAAAGCUUUGUAAAUGUUAACACUUUGCUUUCCUUAAAAUUUCUGUCACUUGGAAGGAUUCCUAGUGUGGAAAAGAUGUUUCAUUUAGAUUAAAAAAAUAAAUGCUGGCUAAAUAUAAAACUAUAUUUUUCACAUGCUUAUACAUAGCAAAUUAUCAGGAUAAAAGGACACUGUCAUGAAUUGUUGAAUCACUAAGAUCAGAUAAAGUGCACUUUACAUAAACAGUACAGUUUUAUGGACAAGCAUCAUUAGUUCUAUGUGACU